AAUCAACGCUGGCGGCGUGCCUCAGACAUGCAAGUCGAACGCGAAAGUCCCCUCGGGGAGUGAUUAGAGUGGCGCACGGGUGAGUAACACGUAGGUAAUCUACCUUCGAGUGGGGAAUAACUCAGGGAAACGUUGAGCUAAUACCGCAUAAUGCAGCGGCACCACAUGGUGACAGUUGUUAAAGCAUUUAUGCGCUUGAAGAGGAGCCUGCGGCGGAUAGCUAGUUGGUAAGGUAAUGGCUUACCAAGGCUACGAUCUGUAACCGGCCUGAGAGGGCGGACGGUCACACUGACACUGAAUAACGGGUCA
rnacentral:rRNA from 1 species